UCUCCACUUCCGGUAUGGUGACAACUAUCGGGAGUCCAGCUCGUCGACGGUGCUGCGGCUCGUUGGUCUGUUCUUCCCCGGCGUUUCUGCUCACAGUCCAGUGAACUACGUCAAUUCCGUGAGGCUCGGACCAGCGAUGCUCGACACGAAAUAGCUUGGCAGGAAUGCCAAAAGGUGUUCGAAUAAAAUGGAAAUGGAUCCACAGCGAAGGCAUAAGCAAAGCAUUUGUUUGAGACAUCGACAGUGGAAAAUCCAAUGAGGUGAAGACAAGCCCAGCGCUUUUCCAGAUUUUUAAGAACCAACGCAGGCAAACAUCAUCGUCCAGCUUCUUUCUCGUGUUCCUUCGUUCGUGCUCGUCUCUUACAUCGUGAAGUGAAUCGCGCAUUACAUCGAUUAGGAAGGUUACCACCACCACAAUCAAAGCACAGUAGAGUGUGUGCCUGUGCUAGCUAGCUGUUCUUGGUUAUCACAAAAGAAGCUCUUCAUUAAUGCCGCAGCUUAUGGCGCCUGCUCGCCAGCAGACAUGAAAGCAAAGCAAAUUUCUUUCUCUUUUUCUGGAGGGGAGAAGGAAAAACAUUUCGGAAUUUUAAUAACCAGCUAGAUC